UUAAGCGACUAAGCGUACACGGUGGAUGCCCUGGCAGUCAGAGGCGAUGAAGGGCGUGCUAAUCUGCGAUAAGCGCCGGUAAGGUGAUAUGAACCGUUAUAACCGGCGAUACCCGAAUGGGGAAACCCAGUGUGACUCGUCACACUAUCAUUAACUGAAUCCAUAGGUUAAUGAGGCGAACCGGGGGAACUGAAACAUCUAAGUACCCCGAGGAAAAGAAAUCAACCGAGAUUCCCCCAGUAGCGGCGAGCGAACGGGGAGGAGCCCAGAGCCUGAAUCAGCAUGUGUGUUAGUGGAAGCGUCUGGAAAGGCGCGCGAUACAGGGUGACAGCCCCGUACACAAAAGCGCAUGUGCUGUGAGCUCGAUGAGUAGGGCGGGACACGUGGUAUCCUGUCUGAAUAUGGGGGGACCAUCCUCCAAGGCUAAAUACUCCUGACUGACCGAUAGUGAACCAGUACCGUGAGGGAAAGGCGAAAAGAACCCCGGCGAGGGGAGUGAAAAAGAACCUGAAACCGUGUACGUACAAGCAGUGGGAGCCCCACCACUAAGCCAGUGGUGAACUCCACAUACGCAUCCUUUGCUGAGGAUACGGUUAACGGAGCGAAAGCGACGUUCAACCUCAAAACAAGCAGAGGGGGCUUAGUGGUGGGGUGACUGCGUACCUUUUGUAUAAUGGGUCAGCGACUUAUAUUCUGUAGCAAGGUUAACCGAAUAGGGGAGCCGCAGGGAAACCGAGUCUUAACCGGGCGUUAAGUUGCAGGGUAUAGACCCGAAACCCGGUGAUCUAGCCAUGGGCAGGUUGAAGGUUGGGUAACACUAACUGGAGGACCGAACCGACUAAUGUUGAAAAAUUAGCGGAUGACCUGUGGCUGGGGGUGAAAGGCCAAUCAAACCGGGAGAUAGCUGGUUCUCCCCGAAAGCUAUUUAGGUAGCGCCUCGUGAACUCAUCUCCGGGGGUAGAGCACUGUUUCGGCUAGGGGGCCAUCCCGGCUUACCAACCCGAUGCAAACUGCGAAUACCGGAGAAUGUUAUCACGGGAGACACACGGCGGGUGCUAACGUCCGUCGUGAAGAGGGAAACAACCCAGACCGCCAGCUAAGGUCCCAAAGUCAUGGUUAAGUGGGAAACGAUGUGGGAAGGCCCAGACAGCCAGGAUGUUGGCUUAGAAGCAGCCAUCAUUUAAAGAAAGCGUAAUAGCUCACUGGUCGAGUCGGCCUGCGCGGAAGAUGUAACGGGGCUAAACCAUGCACCGAAGCUGCGGCAGCGACACUGUGUGUUGUUGGGUAGGGGAGCGUUCUGUAAGCCGUUGAAGGUGGCCUGUGAGGGUUGCUGGAGGUAUCAGAAGUGCGAAUGCUGACAUAAGUAACGAUAAAGCGGGUGAAAAGCCCGCUCGCCGGAAGACCAAGGGUUCCUGUCCAACGUUAAUCGGGGCAGGGUGAGUCGACCCCUAAGGCGAGGCCGAAAGGCGUAGUCGAUGGGAAACGGGUUAAUAUUCCCGUACUUGGUGUUACUGCGAAGGGGGGACGGAGAAGGCUAUGUUGGCCGGGCGACGGUUGUCCCGGUUUAAGCGUGUAGGUGUGUGUUCCAGGUAAAUCCGGUUCACUUUAACACUGAGGCGUGAUGACGAGGCACUACGGUGCUGAAGCAACAAAUGCCCUGCUUCCAGGAAAAGCCUCUAAGCAUCAGGUAACAUCAAAUCGUACCCCAAACCGACACAGGUGGUCAGGUAGAGAAUACCAAGGCGCUUGAGAGAACUCGGGUGAAGGAACUAGGCAAAAUGGUGCCGUAACUUCGGGAGAAGGCACGCUGACACGUAGGUGAAGUGAUUUACUCAUGGAGCUGAAGUCAGUCGAAGAUACCAGCUGGCUGCAACUGUUUAUUAAAAACACAGCACUGUGCAAACACGAAAGUGGACGUAUACGGUGUGACGCCUGCCCGGUGCCGGAAGGUUAAUUGAUGGGGUCAGCGCAAGCGAAGCUCCUGAUCGAAGCCCCGGUAAACGGCGGCCGUAACUAUAACGGUCCUAAGGUAGCGAAAUUCCUUGUCGGGUAAGUUCCGACCUGCACGAAUGGCGUAAUGAUGGCCAGGCUGUCUCCACCCGAGACUCAGUGAAAUUGAACUCGCUGUGAAGAUGCAGUGUACCCGCGGCAAGACGGAAAGACCCCGUGAACCUUUACUAUAGCUUGACACUGAACAUUGAGCCUUGAUGUGUAGGAUAGGUGGGAGGCUUUGAAGCGUGGACGCCAGUCUGCGUGGAGCCAACCUUGAAAUACCACCCUUUAAUGUUUGAUGUUCUAACGUGGACCCGUAAUCCGGGUUGCGGACAGUGUCUGGUGGGUAGUUUGACUGGGGCGGUCUCCUCCUAAAGAGUAACGGAGGAGCACGAAGGUUGGCUAAUCCUGGUCGGACAUCAGGAGGUUAGUGCAAUGGCAUAAGCCAGCUUGACUGCGAGCGUGACGGCGCGAGCAGGUGCGAAAGCAGGUCAUAGUGAUCCGGUGGUUCUGAAUGGAAGGGCCAUCGCUCAACGGAUAAAAGGUACUCCGGGGAUAACAGGCUGAUACCGCCCAAGAGUUCAUAUCGACGGCGGUGUUUGGCACCUCGAUGUCGGCUCAUCACAUCCUGGGGCUGAAGUAGGUCCCAAGGGUAUGGCUGUUCGCCAUUUAAAGUGGUACGCGAGCUGGGUUUAGAACGUCGUGAGACAGUUCGGUCCCUAUCUGCCGUGGGCGCUGGAGAACUGAGGGGGGCUGCUCCUAGUACGAGAGGACCGGAGUGGACGCAUCACUGGUGUUCGGGUUGUCAUGCCAAUGGCACUGCCCGGUAGCUAAAUGCGGAAGAGAUAAGUGCUGAAAGCAUCUAAGCACGAAACUUGCCCCGAGAUGAGUUCUCCCUGAGACUUUAGGUCUCCUGAAGGAACGUUGAAGACGACGACGUUGAUAGGCCGGGUGUGUAAGCGCAGCGAUGCGUUGAGCUAACCGGUACUAAUGAACCGUGAGGCUUAACCUU
rnacentral:rRNA from 1 species